rnacentral:rRNA from 1 species
UGCAGUCGAGCGGUAGAGAGAAGCUUGCUUCUCUUGAGAGCGGCGGACGGGUGAGUAAUGCCUAGGAAUCUGCCUAGUGGUGGGGGAUAACGUUCGGAAACGGACGCUAAUACCGCAUACGUCCUACGGGAGAAAGCGGGGGAUCUUCGGACCUCGCGCCAUUAGAUGAGCCUAGGUCGGAUUAGCUAGUUGGUGAGGUAAUGGCUCACCAAGGCGACGAUCCGUAACUGGUCUGAGAGGAUGAUCAGUCACACUGGAACUGAGACACGGUCCAGACUCCUACGGGAGGCAGCAGUGGGGAAUAUUGGACAAUGGGCGAAAGCCUGAUCCAGCCAUGCCGCGUGUGUGAAGAAGGUCUUCGGAUUGUAAAGCACUUUAAGUUGGGAGGAAGGGCAGUAACCUAAUACGUUAUUGUUUUGACGUUACCGACAGAAUAAGCACCGGCUAACUUCGCGCCAGCAGCCGCGGUAAUACGAAGGGUGCAAGCGUUAAUCGGAAUUACUGGGCGUAAAGCGCGCGUAGGUGGUUCAGUAAGUUGGAAGUGAAAUCCCCGGGCUCAACCUGGGAACUGCUUUCAAAACUGCUGAGCUAGAGUACGGUAGAGGGUGGUGGAAUUUCCUGUGUAGCGGUGAAAUGCGUAGAUAUAGGAAGGAACACCAGUGGCGAAGGCGACCACCUGGACUGAUACUGACACUGAGGUGCGAAAGCGUGGGGAGCAAACAGGAUUAGAUAC